rnacentral:rRNA from 1 species
GGGUUGUGAGGUUAAGCGACUAAGCGUACACGGUGGAUGCCUUGGCAGUCAGAGGCGAUGAAGGACGUGCUAAUCUGCGAUAAGCGUCGGUAAGGUGAUAUGAACCGUUAUAACCGGCGAUUUCCGAAUGGGGAAACCCAGUGUGUUUCGACACACUAUCAUUAACUGAAUCCAUAGGUUAAUGAGGCGAACCGGGGGAACUGAAACAUCUAAGUACCCCGAGGAAAAGAAAUCAACCGAGAUUCCCCCAGUAGCGGCGAGCGAACGGGGAGCAGCCCAGAGCCUGAAUCAGUGUGUGUGUUAGUGGAAGCGUCUGGAAAGGCGCGCGAUACAGGGUGACAGCCCCGUACACAAAAAUGCACAUGCUGUGAGCUCGAUGAGUAGGGCGGGACACGUGGUAUCCUGUCUGAAUAUGGGGGGCCAUCCUCCAAGGCUAAAUACUCCUGACUGACCGAUAGUGAACCAGUACCGUGAGGGAAAGGCGAAAAGAACCCCGGCGAGGGGAGUGAAAAAGAACCUGAAACCGUGUACGUACAAGCAGUGGGAGCACGCUUAGGCGUGUGACUGCGUACCUUUUGUAUAAUGGGUCAGCGACUUAUAUUCUGUAGCAAGGUUAACCGAAUAGGGGAGCCGAAGGGAAACCGAGUCUUAACUGGGCGUUAAGUUGCAGGGUAUAGACCCGAAACCCGGUGAUCUAGCCAUGGGCAGGUUGAAGGUUGGGUAACACUAACUGGAGGACCGAACCGACUAAUGUUGAAAAAUUAGCGGAUGACUUGUGGCUGGGGGUGAAAGGCCAAUCAAACCGGGAGAUAGCUGGUUCUCCCCGAAAGCUAUUUAGGUAGCGCCUCGUGAAUUCAUCUCCGGGGGUAGAGCACUGUUUCGGCAAGGGGGUCAUCCCGACUUACCAACCCGAUGCAAACUGCGAAUACCGGAGAAUGUUAUCACGGGAGACACACGGCGGGUGCUAACGUCCGUCGUGAAGAGGGAAACAACCCAGACCGCCAGCUAAGGUCCCAAAGUCAUGGUUAAGUGGGAAACGAUGUGGGAAGGCCCAGACAGCCAGGAUGUUGGCUUAGAAGCAGCCAUCAUUUAAAGAAAGCGUAAUAGCUCACUGGUCGAGUCGGCCUGCGCGGAAGAUGUAACGGGGCUAAACCAUGCACCGAAGCUGCGGCAGCGACGCUUAUGCGUUGUUGGGUAGGGGAGCGUUCUGUAAGCCUGUGAAGGUGUACUGUGAGGUAUGCUGGAGGUAUCAGAAGUGCGAAUGCUGACAUAAGUAACGAUAAAGCGGGUGAAAAACCCGCUCGCCGGAAGACCAAGGGUUCCUGUCCAACGUUAAUCGGGGCAGGGUGAGUCGACCCCUAAGGCGAGGCCGAAAGGCGUAGUCGAUGGGAAACAGGUUAAUAUUCCUGUACUUGGUGUUACUGCGAAGGGGGGACGGAGAAGGCUAUGUUGGCCGGGCGACGGUUGUCCCGGUUUAAGCGUGUAGGCUGGUUUUCCAGGCAAAUCCGGAAAAUCAAGGCUGAGGCGUGAUGACGAGGCACUACGGUGCUGAAGCAACAAAUGCCCUGCUUCCAGGAAAAGCCUCUAAGCAUCAGGUAACAUCAAAUCGUACCCCAAACCGACACAGGUGGUCAGGUAGAGAAUACCAAGGCGCUUGAGAGAACUCGGGUGAAGGAACUAGGCAAAAUGGUGCCGUAACUUCGGGAGAAGGCACGCUGAUAUGUAGGUGAAGUCCCUCGCGGAUGGAGCUGAAAUCAGUCGAAGAUACCAGCUGGCUGCAACUGUUUAUUAAAAACACAGCACUGUGCAAACACGAAAGUGGACGUAUACGGUGUGACGCCUGCCCGGUGCCGGAAGGUUAAUUGAUGGGGUUAGCGCAAGCGAAGCUCUUGAUCGAAGCCCCGGUAAACGGCGGCCGUAACUAUAACGGUCCUAAGGUAGCGAAAUUCCUUGUCGGGUAAGUUCCGACCUGCACGAAUGGCGUAAUGAUGGCCAGGCUGUCUCCACCCGAGACUCAGUGAAAUUGAACUCGCUGUGAAGAUGCAGUGUACCCGCGGCAAGACGGAAAGACCCCGUGAACCUUUACUAUAGCUUGACACUGAACAUUGAGCCUUGAUGUGUAGGAUAGGUGGGAGGCUUUGAAGUGUGGACGCCAGUCUGCAUGGAGCCGACCUUGAAAUACCACCCUUUAAUGUUUGAUGUUCUAACGUUGACCCGUAAUCCGGGUUGCGGACAGUGUCUGGUGGGUAGUUUGACUGGGGCGGUCUCCUCCUAAAGAGUAACGGAGGAGCACGAAGGUUGGCUAAUCCUGGUCGGACAUCAGGAGGUUAGUGCAAUGGCAUAAGCCAGCUUGACUGCGAGCGUGACGGCGCGAGCAGGUGCGAAAGCAGGUCAUAGUGAUCCGGUGGUUCUGAAUGGAAGGGCCAUCGCUCAACGGAUAAAAGGUACUCCGGGGAUAACAGGCUGAUACCGCCCAAGAGUUCAUAUCGACGGCGGUGUUUGGCACCUCGAUGUCGGCUCAUCACAUCCUGGGGCUGAAGUAGGUCCCAAGGGUAUGGCUGUUCGCCAUUUAAAGUGGUACGCGAGCUGGGUUUAGAACGUCGUGAGACAGUUCGGUCCCUAUCUGCCGUGGGCGCUGGAGAACUGAGGGGGGCUGCUCCUAGUACGAGAGGACCGGAGUGGACGCAUCACUGGUGUUCGGGUUGUCAUGCCAAUGGCACUGCCCGGUAGCUAAAUGCGGAAGAGAUAAGUGCUGAAAGCAUCUAAGCACGAAACUUGCCCCGAGAUGAGUUCUCCCUGACCCUUUAAGGGUCCUGAAGGAACGUUGAAGACGACGACGUUGAUAGGCCGGGUGUGUAAGCGCAGCGAUGCGUUGAGCUAACCGGUACUAAUGAACCGUGAGGCUUAACCUUACAACGCCGAAGCUGUU